GCCUUCUCAUUGAGCUCCUCCUUGUCUGCCAGUGACGGGGUAUGGAUUCGCACGAGAAGAACAUGAACUUCAUGCCUUGUGUAGUCGUGUCCCCCGCCAUCUCGGGGGAGGCUCCUGCCAGGCCGUGGGACAAGU
ensembl:snoRNA SNORA75 Small nucleolar RNA SNORA75